GGUGGUAGCAAAUAUUCAAACAAGCGGUUUGAAGGCCGAAGUGGAGCAGGGUUCCAUGUGGACAGCAGUUGAACAUGGGUCAGUCGCCUAAGUGAUAGGCGAGCGCCAUUCCAAAAGGGCGGGCGAUGGCCUCUGUCGCCCUUAGCCGAUCGAAAGGGAGUCAGGAUCAGAUCCUUGAAUCCGGAGUGGCUGGUUAGCUCAGUUGGUUAGAGUGUGGUGCUAAUAACGCCAAGGUUGCGGGUUCGAUCCCCCUACGGGCCAAGGGAUACUUUUAGACC
rnacentral:ncRNA from 1 species